GCAUCAGUUUGAGGUCCAACCUGACAGCUGCCUUGUCCGGUCCCUCUUCCCCGCCCUGUUACUAUUUGGUGGUCAUCUUGUCUUGUCUGAGGAGGAGGGGAGGGGGGUCACAGCCCGGGAUUAAAGAGCAAAUAAACUUCACGCGGGACUGUGGGACCGUGUCGGAUCGCUGCCUUCAACUUGGGCUGAAGAAAGACUCGGGAAACUCCUCGGGAUUCUCCGUACACCGAGCACUGAUACGGAUGUUUAGGUGAGCGUUAUUAUCAUCGCUUCUUUUAUCGUUACUUCAUUUUAAAGUAGCGCUCAUCCCAAGUGUAUGUGUGUGUAAA
rnacentral:lncRNA from 1 species